GGAGAACUGAGGGCGCCACCGGAGCUCCGGUAUCAGGAUCCGGAGGAUUUAAACACUUAGUGUUCGUCAACGGUUAAGUUCCGGAGUGGGGCGGGCCUUGCGCGCACGCAGUGAAAAGCCCAGCCGGGCGGCCGGGAGGACGUCAGAGGCGGCCGGAAGCGCUCGCUUCCGUGGUCGUUGCUCGGCGACUAGAAGCGGACUAAAUUUGAAAGGACAAAAGAGGGGAAGGAGAUCCAAGUGACAAACCUCAAUGGCUGCCAUGGGUUACAUUUAGUGCAGAGGCCCUGGGGUGUAAGCUUCCUCACAUCUUCGAGCAAGGAGGACACUGUGGAAUUGCCAUGGCUGUUGGCCUCUACAGAGAAAAGCUACCAGUCUUAUUUUCUUAUUUUUCAAAUUUGCAAGAGCUUUAAUUUGCUUCACAGAGAACCAUUUCCAGUGUGCCAUACUUUAAAAAAAUGUAUGAAUUUGUUGCACAAACAAUGCUACAACAAGAAAAAUAUUGUAAAGGGAAAAAUUCAUCCAAAAUUCUACAGCCUAACAUGUCAAUUGUUUUCAUUUUUCCUUGUGCCCUUUCACUCCCUGUCCACAUGACAUGGUCUUUAUGAUUAGACCUGGUAAAUGUUCAGUGUUAUAAACCCUGCUGUGCCUGCUAAUAGGCUGGCUGUGGGAAUUAAAGAGCUAUUGUUAUCACCAGGAACAGGGAAGUUGGAAUCAGUUAUCAGUUCUGUUAUUUAUUUACUAAAUUUCUCCAAACACCCAACUUUCCCUUUCUCUAUUUAUACUCCUGAGCUAAGCUGGACUACUGCUUUUUAAAAACAACUACAGCUUCACUUUUAAGGAACAUAUUUUUAAGGGGCAUUGCCAGUCUGUCAGUUUAUGCAAAAUUCCUUUGAGAUGAACCUCUUGGGAGAAGUAACAACAAUGUGUGUCAUCACGUUGAUUUACUUUAUUUUUUUGAAGCUUGGCUUGUUUGGAAUGAAGACAAGAAUGAUCAAAUAACAAACACUGGUAAAUUCUCUGAAAGUAUUUGCUAAUCUGAGUUAAUGUACCAUCAUCCUGAUUUGCGUUCAAGAAAACCAUAGGUAUAACCAACCUACCUACACUUGCAAAGUUAAUAAGCAAAGACACUCUAAGACCUGCC
rnacentral:lncRNA from 1 species